AUGAACGCUGGCGGCGUGCCUAAUACAUGCAAGUCGAGCGAACGGACGAGAAGCUUGCUUCUCUGAUGUUAGCGGCGGACGGGUGAGUAACACGUGGAUAACCUACCUAUAAGACUGGGAUAACUUCGGGAAACCGGAGCUAAUACCGGAUAAUAUUUUGAACCGCAUGGUUCAAAAGUGAAAGACGGCCUUGCUGUCACUUAUAGAUGGAUCCGCGCUGCAUUAGCUAGUUGGUAAGGUAACGGCUUACCAAGGCAACGAUGCAUAGCCGACCUGAGAGGGUGAUCGGCCACACUGGAACUGAGACACGGUCCAGACUCCUACGGGAGGCAGCAGUACGGAAUCUUCCGCAAUGGGCGAAAGCCUGACGGAGCAACGCCGCGUGAGUGAUGAAGGUCUUCGGAUCGUAAAACUCUGUUAUUAGGGAAGAACAUAUGUGUAAGUAACUGUGCACAUCUUGACGGUACCUAAUCAGAAAGCCACGGCUAACUACGUG
rnacentral:rRNA from 1 species